AUUGAACGCUGGCGGCAGGCUUAACACAUGCAAGUCGAGCGGAGAGAGGUAGCUUGCUACUGAUCUUAGCGGCGGACGGGUGAGUAAUGCUUAGGAAUCUGCCUAUUAGUGGGGGACAACAUUUCGAAAGGAAUGCUAAUACCGCAUACGUCCUACGGGGGAAAGCAGGGGAUCUUCGGACUUUGCGCUAAUAGAUGAGCCUAAGUCGGAUUAGCUAGUUGGUGGGGUAAAGGCCUACCAAGGCGACGAUCUGUAGCGGGUCUGAGAGGAUGAUCCGCCACACUGGGACUGAGACACGGCCCAGACUCCUACGGGAGGCAGCAGUGGGGAAUAUUGGACAAUGGGCGGAAGCCUGAUCCAGCCAUGCCGCGUGUGUGAAGAAGGCCCUAUGGUUGUAAAGCACUUUAAGCGAGGAGGAGGCUACUUUAGUUAAUACCUAGAGAUAGUGGACGUUACUCGCAGAAUAAGCACCGGCUAACUCUGUGCCAGCCGCCGCCGUAAUAC
rnacentral:rRNA from 1 species